AACGAACGCUGGCGGCAGGCUUAACACAUGCAAGUCGAACGGGUGUCGCAAGACAUCAGUGGCAGACGGGUGAGUAACACGUGGGAACCUUCCUAGGGGUACGGAACAACUCAGGGAAACUUGAGCUAAUACCGUAUACGUCCGUAAGGAGAAAGAUUCAUCGCCCCUAGACGGGCCCGCGUCGGAUUAGCUAGUUGGUGGGGUAACGGCCUACCAAGGCGACGAUCCGUAGCUGAUCUGGGAGGAUGAUCAGCCACACUGGGACUGAGACACGGCCCAGACUCCUACGGGAGGCAGCAGUGGGGAAUCUUGGACAAUGGGCGCAAGCCUGAUCCAGCCAUGCCGCGUGAGUGAAGAAGGCCUUAGGGUUGUAAAGCUCUUUUACCAGGGACGAUAAUGACGGUACCUGGAGAAUAAGCCCCGGCAAACUUCGUGCCA
rnacentral:rRNA from 1 species